GAUGAACGCUGGCGGCGUGCCUAAUACAUGCAAGUCGAGCGAACGGACGAGAAGCUUGCUUCUCUGAUGUUAGCGGCGGACGGGUGAGUAACACGUGGAUACCCUCCCUAUAAGACUGGGAUAACUUCGGGAAACCGGAGCCAAUACCGGAUAAUAUUUUGAACCGCAUGGUUCAAAAGUGAAAGACGGUCUUGCUGUCACUUAUAGAUGGAUCCUCGCUGCAUUAGCUAGUUGGUGAGGUAACGGCUUACCAAGGCAACGAUGCAUAGCCGACCUGAGAGGGUGAUCGGCCACACUGGAACUGAGACACGGUCCAGACUCCUACGGGAGGCAGCAGUAGGGAAUCUUCCGCAAUGGGCGAAAGCCUGACGGAGCAACGCCGCGUGAGUGAUGAAGGUCUUCGGAUCGUAAAACUCUGUUAUUAGGGAAGAACAUAUGUGUAAGUAACUGUGCACAUCUUGACGGUACCUAAUCAGAAAGCCACGGCUAACUACGUG
rnacentral:rRNA from 1 species